rnacentral:rRNA from 1 species
UGGGGAAUCUUGCACAAUGGGCGAAAGCCUGAUGCAGCAACGCCGCGUGCGGGAAGAAGGCCCUCGGGUUGUAAACCGCUUUCAGAAGGAACGAAACUGACGGUACUUUCAGAAGAAGGUGCGGCCAACUACGUGCCAGCAGCCGCGGUGACACGUAGGCACCAAGCGUUGUCCGGAUUUAUUGGGCGUAAAGAGCUCGUAGGCGGUUCAGUAAGUCGGGUGUGAAAACUUUGGGCUUAACCCAAAGCGUGCAUCCGAUACUGCUGUGACUUGAGUACGGUAGGGGAGCGGGGAAUUCCUAGUGUAGCGGUGAAAUGCGCAGAUAUUAGGAGGAACGCCGGUGGCGAAGGCGCCGCUCUGGGCCGAAACUGACGCUGAGGAGCGAAAGCAUGGGUAGCAAACAGGAUUAGAUACCCCCGUAGUCCCUGAGCGGGCUGGCAAGGCGCAU